UACGUAGGGUGCAAGCGUUGUCCGGAAUCACUGGGCGUAAAGCGCACGUAGGCGGAUCUUUAAGUCAGGGGUGAAAUCCCAAGGCUCAACCUUGGAACUGCCUUUGAUACUGGGGAUCUCGAGUCCGGAAGAGGUGAGUGGAACUGCGAGUGUAGAGGUGAAAUUCGUAGAUAUUCGCAAGAACACCAGUGGCGAAGGCGGCUCACUGGUCCGGUACUGACGCUGAGGUGCGAAAGCGUGGGGAGCAAACAGG
rnacentral:rRNA from 1 species